GAUGAACGCUGGCGGCGUGCCUAAUACAUGCAAGUCGAGCGGACGGACGCGACGCUUGCUUCUCUGAUGUUAGCGGCGGACGGGUGAGUAACACGUGGAUAACCUACCUAUAAGACUGGGAUAACUUCGGGAAACCGUAGCUAAUACCGGAUAAUAUUUUGAACCGCAUGGUUCAAAAGUGAAAGACGGUCUUUCUGUCUCUUAUAGCUGGAUCUGGGCUGCAUUAGCUAGUUGUUAAGGUAACGGGUUACCACGGCAACGAUGCAUAGCCGAACUGAGAGGGUGAUAGGCCACACGGGAAGUGAGACAGGGUCAAGACUACUACGGGAGGCAGCAGUAGGGAAUCUUCGGCAGUGGGCGAAAGCAUGACGGAGCAACGGCGCGUGAGUGAUGAAGGUCUUCGGAUCGUAAAACUCUGUUAUGAGGGAAGAACAGAUGUGUAAGUAACUGUGCACAGCUUGACGGUACCUAAUCAGAAAGCAACGGCUAACUACGUG
rnacentral:rRNA from 1 species